rnacentral:lncRNA from 1 species
GUUUGAAUCAGCUUAUAUAUAUUCAAAGAAAACAUCAGGACAAUCGAUUUCCUAAUCGAUUUCAUAAUGCAUUAAUCGAUUGCCUAAUCGAUUUUCGCAGGUCUUGUUUUUCUUGAAUCUUGAAUCAUAUAAGCAUGAAUCGAUUUGCCAAUCGAUUCUUUUAAUACAUUAAUCAGAACUGGAACUAUGAUUUUAUCCAAAGCGAUUGAAUAAUCGAUUAUAGGUGUUUUGAUUCAACAACGAAAUCAAAACAAUCGAUUCCUCAGUCGACUUCAUAAUC